AACAACGUCGUUUGCUUAAGCUCGCUAUUAAUUGCACUCCUUCCCGUGUGAUUACCUCUACAAAUUAUACAUUGUCAUUGAGAGACACCGCUCUGGAGACACCGGAGGCACAUUAGCUUUAUCUCAACCACGCAUUGAAAAAUAGUUUUAGCUGCAGUGGUGCGGUACUGUGGAACACCCUUCCAGCCGAGAUACGACAAGCUAACACUUUACGUAAAUUCAAGUCUGACUGCAGCAACUUCGAACGAUAAUUUUCAAAUUUUUAUCUUUAUAUUAGUACUUGCACGGCACUCAUGGAAAACAGGUAUUUUUAUAAAUGGAUAUGUAUAUAAAAUGUGUAAUAUGUAAGUUUUAUUCUAUUCUAUAAUUGGCGUGUAAAAUCCUGAUGAGUUCACCGUGGUUAAAUAAAGUUCACUUACUCAUUCACACAGCGUUCCAUCGCAUCCAAUGCCGCGGCCUAACUCACUUCGCCAUCUGGCUUGAAUAAAAGGUAAAAUUCAGAAUCGUCCGCAUAUACAUGAACAUCUGGAAGAUGAUCCACAUAAUUUUCAGUUACGGCCACAAUUGUGAAAACAAGCUGCUUUCUCAAGUCCUAGGUUUUCUAAAGCCGUAUCUAA